rnacentral:rRNA from 1 species
GCAAAUCCAGUCGAUGCUGCUGGAGUGCACUGCUAUCCGCUUCCGAUAGCCAUGCAAGUCUGCUCCGAAAGGGGCGGCGUACGGCUCAGUAAUAAGUAGUCAACCUACCCUGGAGAGGGGGAUAACCUCGGGAAACUGAGGCUAAUACCCCAUAGCUUAAGAAAGCUGGAAUGCUUCUUAAGCCAAAGGCACUGCCGCUCCAGGAUGGGACUGCUUCCUAUCAGGUAGACGGCGGGG